UUGUCCUGGACUUCCCUCCGCGCCGGAACGUGGAUCAGGACUUGCAGGAACUUUUUCGCCAGGAGUUUCACCGUGUGGCUGCACGCAAGGGUGUGAGGUACUACUCUAUUGCAGAGUUCUUUCCUCUCAGCCAGCGUGACCUGUGGAGUUGGGAUGGGGUGCACCUGAGUGAUGGAUCUGGGAUGAGGACGCUGGUGACAUUGCUAUGCGACAAAUCCAGUCUGGAGCUAGCGAUGGCUGUUGCACAGGAGGAGUCGCGUAGCAUGUUGCCAGCUGUUCCUGCUCCUGCUCCUCGUCUGGCUCCGAGGUUGGUUGUGGUUGGAGAGGCCCGCUCUCCACGUCCAUUGCACAACCCAUUGGAUUGGAAGGUGGUUGAACCACGC